rnacentral:rRNA from 1 species
UACGUAGGUGGCGAGCGUUGUCCGGAUUUAUUGGGCGUAAAGCGCGCGCAGGUGGUGCGGUAAGUCUGCCGUGAAAUCUGCCCGGCCUCAAUGGGAGGGGCGGUGGAGACUGCCGGACUAGAGGGACGUCAGAGGCCGGUGGAAUUCCCGGUGUAGUGGUGAAAUGCGUAGAGAUCGGGAGGAACACCAGUGGGCGAAGGCGACUACCUGGCCUGUUCUUGACGCUGAGGCGACGAAAGGCUAGGGGGAGCAAACAGGG